AAAGUCGUAACAAGGUCUCCGUUGGUGAACCAGCGGAGGGAUCAUUACCGAGUUUACAACUCCCAAACCCCUGUGAACAUACCUAUCGUUGCCUCGGCGGUGCCCGCUCCGGCGGCCCGCCAGAGGACCCCCAAACUCUGAAUGUUAGUGUCGUCUGAGUACUAUAUAAUAGUUAAAACUUUCAACAACGGAUCUCUUGGUUCUG
rnacentral:misc_RNA from 1 species